rnacentral:rRNA from 1 species
CCUACGGGAGGCAGCAGUGAGGGAUAUUGCACAAUGGGGGGAACCCUGAUGCAGCGACGCCGCGUGGGCGAUGAAGUGCUUCGGCAUGUAAAGCCCUUUCAGCAGGGAAGAAAAUGACGGUACCUGACUAAGAAGCCCCGGAUAAUUCCGUGCCAGCAACCGCGGUAAUACGGAGGGGGCCACCGUUAUCCGGAUUUACUGGGGGUAAAGGGAGCGUAGGCGGCCUGGCAAGCCUGAGGUGAAAUGCCGGGGCUCAACCCCGGGGCUGCAUUUGAAACUGCCAGGCUGGAGUGUCGGAGAGGGAGGCGGAAUGCCUGGUGUAGCGGUGAAAUGCGUAGAGAUUAGGAGGAACACCAGUGGCGAAGGCGGCCUGCUGGACGGUGACUGACGCUGAGGCUCGAAAGCGUGGGGAGCAAACAGGAUUAGAUACCCGUGUAGUC